rnacentral:rRNA from 1 species
UGGGGAAUAUUGCACAAUGGGGGGAACCCUGAUGCAGCGACGCCGCGUGAGCGAAGAAGUAUCUCGGUAUGUAAAGCUCUAUCAGCAGGGAAGAAGAUGACGGUACCUGACUAAGAAGCUCCGGCUAAAUACGUGCCAGCAGCCGCGGUAAUACGUAUGGAGCAAGCGUUAUCCGGAUUUACUGGGUGUAAAGGGAGCGCAGGCGGCGCGCCAAGUCUGGUGUGAAACCCCGGGGCUCAACCCCGGGACUGCAUUGGAAACUGGCGAGCUGGAGUGUCGGAGGGGCAGGCGGAAUUCCUGGUG